GGAAGGGGAUAUGGCCCGGUGGCCCUGUCAGUCUUCAAAACUGUGCUGCCCCGAUGUUGCAUCGGGGUGGGUGGGUUCGACUCCCUCCUCCUUCCGCCA
rnacentral:tRNA from 1 species